AGAGUUUGAUCAUGGCUCAGAUUGAACGCUGGCGGAAUGCUUUACACAUGCAAGUCGAACGGCAGCACGGGGGCAACCCUGGUGGCGAGUGGCGAACGGGUGAGUAAUACAUCGGAACGUGCCCAGUCGUGGGGGAUAACGUAGCGAAAGCUACGCUAAUACCGCAUACGAUCUCUGGAUGAAAGCGGGGGACCGCAAGGCCUCGCGCGAUUGGAGCGGCCGAUGGCAGAUUAGGUAGUUGGUGGGGUAAAGGCUCACCAAGCCGACGAUCUGUAGCUGGUCUGAGAGGACGACCAGCCACACUGGGACUGAGACACGGCCCAGACUCCUACGGGAGGCAGCAGUGGGGAAUUUUGGACAAUGGGCGAAAGCCUGAUCCAGCCAUUCCGCGUGCAGGAUGAAGGCCCUCGGGUUGUAAACUGCUUUUGUACGGAACGAAACGGUCCUGGUUAAUACCUGGGGCUAAUGACGGUACCGUAAGAAUAAGCACCGGCUAACUACGUG
rnacentral:rRNA from 1 species